UUGAACGCUGGUGGCAGGCCUAACACAUGCAAGUCGCGCGGAUGAAGGGAGCUUGCUCCUGGAUUCAGCGGCGGACGGGUGAGUAAUGCCUAGGAAUCUGCCUGGUAGUGGGGGAUAACGUCCGGAAACGGGCGCUAAUACCGCAUACGUCCUGAGGGAGAAAGUGGGGGAUCUUCGGACCUCACGCUAUCAGAUGAGCCUAGGUCGGAUUAGCUAGUUGGUGGGGUAAAGGCCUACCAAGGCGACGAUCCGUAACUGGUCUGAGAGGAUGAUCAGUCACACUGGAACUGAGACACGGUCCAGACUCCUACGGGAGGCAGCAGUGGGGAAUAUUGGACAAUGGGCGAAAGCCUGAUCCAGCCAUGCCGCGUGUGUGAAGAAGGUCUUCGGAUUGUAAAGCACUUUAAGUUGGGAGGAAGGGCAGUAAGUUAAUACCUUGCUGUUUUGACGUUACCAACAGAAUAAGCACCGGCUAACUUCGUG
rnacentral:rRNA from 1 species